UACGUAGGGUGCGAGCGUUAAUCGGAAUUACUGGGCGUAAAGCGUGCGCAGGCGGUUCGUUAAGUCAGAUGUGAAAGCCCCGGGCUCAACCUGGGAACUGCAUUUGAAACUGGCGGGCUUGAGUGCGGCAGAGGGGGGUGGAAUUCCGCGUGUAGCAGUGAAAUGCGUAGAGAUGCGGAGGAACACCGAUGGCGAAGGCAGCCCCCUGGGCCGACACUGACGCCUCAGGCACGAAAGCGUGGGGAGCAAACAGG
rnacentral:rRNA from 1 species